GCCGCUGCGUUUGCAGCGGGGGCGCGUCUCCGGACGGCCCCGCGUGUGGUUAUCGGAGCGGCGCGUGAAGCGGGCCUGUGCUUCGUUUCCGCGGCCGCUGUCGGCGAGGUGGUGAGCCUCCCGGCGCGAGCGUCCUAAGUUUGCGCCAUGGAGGUGGUGGAGGCCUCCGCCGCUCAGCUGCAGACACUGAAAUUCGGUGGCGCCGGCGUCGGAAUUGGCCAGGAGGUGGCCGCGCCGGCCCCGGGCCCCGCUCCGGUCGCAGCGCCGCCGGCAGACCAGGGGGCCCCGGAGUCUGCGGGCGAACCGUCGCCUCAACUCCUGCCGCCGUCGCUCCCGGGGCCGCCUCUGGAAGGGAGCGGCCUGGAGACGUCGGACUCGGACUCCGACUCAGAUUCGGACUCGGACAGUGAAACAGAUUCCGAUAGUUCAAGCUCCUCCUCUUCCUCAUCAUCGUCUUCAUCGUCUUCCUCUCGUAUGUCCCUUCCUCCAGUUCUGUCAGAUGGAGAAGAUGACUUACUAGUUGAGAAGGAAAAUAAGAAUUUUCCUCUUAAAACAAAAGAUGAGUUACUUCUUAGUGAACUACCUUCUGUUGAAGAACUCACUAUUGUUCUGCCUGAAGAUAUUGAAUUAAAGCCUCUUGGAAUGGUUUCAAGUAUUAUUGAACAAUUAGUAAUAAUUGAAUCUAUGACUAACGUACCUCCAGUUAAUGAGGAGACUGUAAUUUUUAAAACUGAUCGACAGGCAGCAGGAAAGAUAUUUGAGAUAUUUGGACCUGUUGCACAUCCAUUUUAUGUAUUACGGUUUAAUUCUUCAGAGCAUAUUGAAAAUAAAGGUAUUAAAAUAAAGGACACUAUGUAUUUUGCUCCAUCAAUGAAAGACUUCACCCAGUAUAUAUUCACAGAGAAGCUUAAACAGGAUAGGGGAUCAGAUGCAUCGUGGAAGAAUGAUCAAGAACCACCACCAGAGGCCUUGGAUUUCAGUGAUGAUGAAAAGGAAAAAGAAGCCAAACAGAGGAAAAAAUCUCAGAUUCAAGGUCGGAAAAAAUUCAGAUCUGAAUUUAAUGAACCUGGUGAAGAUUUUGCAGAAGUACAUCACAAUUGGAAUGUUCAUAGCUCUGCUUCAGAGCAUUCCAAAGGAUAUCAUAACAGAGAAUUCACAAGAGGAUUUUCCCAGGGUAGAUAUCCUCAAUCUUGCCCUAGCAGGCCCCCACCUCCACAGUUUUAUAACGCAGAACACAUGGUCCCUCAGGACCCUUCAGGAUUUGCGCCACAGAGACAGGAUAGCCCCAUGAUGCCACAGUAUCCCUUCCCUCCUCCAGGGUUUGACAUGCAUAACUUCUCCCUCCCUCCCCCCCCACCCCCACCGCCUGCCUCUGCAAACAUGGGCUGGGCUGCCCCUGCUGUGGCCCCUCACCCGAUAAUCCCCCUGCCCUACUCCCUAGCCCCACCUCCGCCCCCGCCACCCCUGCCUCUGCCCUCCUCUUCUGGAGAUGGUAAUUCUGCUCAUUUUGGACCUUACUAUUAGGUUGAUCUGAUCUGAUACAUUCCUGAGAAAUGUGGACUUUUAUGUACACACAUGCGUAUAUAUGUGGAAGCAUUUUUUAAAAAGAGAUUAUAGAGCUAGAUUUUUAAAGCAUUGUAAAUUAAAAAAUAGUUCCUUCAGUUUUAGGUUGAUAUGUAUUGUAACCUUUAUGAAAAUUUAAUGUUAAACUUGUGGCGGGGAAUCCAAUUAUGUAAUAUUUAAUUAAUUCUUUGAACCUUGCCUAAUUAAAUAGUAUGCCUCAAUUUAAUAAUCUGGGGCACCUUUCAUCAUGGAUUAAAAUAUAUUGACCAUACUGAUUAUCUUCUUGGUAUAUCUGAAAAUAAAAUGUUAAGUCCUAUUGAAAGCCUUUAAAAUAAACUAUUUUUAUAAAUAUAUUUUAAAAAUUG
rnacentral:misc_RNA from 1 species